GGCCUGUUGUGGCCUCUGCGCUCUCCAUACCUCUGCGACUACCCGUCGAUCCACACGUGAAACACGCCCCUCCACCACCCUUCCCAGGCACAGAGGCUCGCGCAUGCACUCGUCCUCACACAGGUGUAACCCCGCCUCGCCACCUGCACACGCCCGCCCUCCCUCUCCGCGUCUCCCCCUCGCCCAGCAGUCACGUUCUUUGUGCGAGGAAAGGAAGAUGAGGAAACUGAGGCUCAGAGAGAGGACAGGACCCGCCCAAGAUCACAUCACCGCGGAGUAGCUGGGAUUUAAAUGCAGGGCUGGUUUCAAGCUCCCCGUGAGACAUCGCGGAGGACAGAGGUGGAAGAGAGGUGCCCCGUCGACUCUGCGGAGCCGGCCUCCAGCACCCCGCUGAGCUGUGACACAAGACUUAGACACCCACCGUGUCUUCCUGCACGUGACUUCCCACCAAGCCACCCUCCACCCUCGUAGAGUUGCUCAUGCCGCAGCUCGUGAGGGAUGACAGAGUCCUACCAGAGAGGGACAGUCUGGGAACUCACCCCUCCUGCUGGCCCGGUCCCUUCCUAAGCACCCUGGCUCAGCAGUGGUCCUGCCUGAACCUUUGAGCCCCAUCAGGCAUGUGCGGACUCAUGCAUCGCAGACUGUCAGCGAACAGCAUCUGGAAACUGAGGCUCAGAGGAGGCCAGCAAAAUGCCCAAGGUCACACAGCAGGACCAACUGGGACCUGAGCCUCUGAACUCCCAUCCCAGGCUUGGAGCUGUAUGAACUUGAGUGUGGCCACGAGCCCUCUUCAGCGGGGCCCCUCGUGCUGCCUGGCACCGGCCCGGGGAUCCCCAUGGGGUCAAACAUGCCCCAAGGUCAGCUGUGGCUAGGCCUGCCCCAUUGUUCCCUGCAGGGAGUUUAGGUUUGCUCAGGAAGCUCCAGGCCAAGGCUGUAGCAUGCGGCGGGAGGCGGCAAGGUCAGCCGUGGGCCACGGCUAGAACCCUGCCUCCACGGGACCUCUAUCCUGUGAGGUAGACAGCUCAGAGGAGGCGGGCAGCCCCUGGGACCCUUCCCGAGGCUGCGGGUACAACGGAGAACUAGAGCGUGGGCUUCAGAGGCAGACAGCCGGGCUGGCAUUCCAGCUCCCCACACAGGUGCUGCAUGACCUUGGGUGAAGUGUCUCAACAUCUGUGAACCUCCAGUUCCUCUCGUAAACGGGCCCAGCCUGACAACGGUUGCGAUGAGUUCAUGUUCCAGGGCUCUCUCUGGGCUGGUGCACCGGAGCCACUCCGUAAAUAGUAUGUUCCUCUGCUUCCUUCCCCUAGCUUUCUCUUCUCCUCCCUAGGGGAUCCUGGUGGCUGAUGGUGGGGGGCUGGAGGGAGGGACGACGUGAUCCUAUGCCCCACCCAAACCUCGGGAAAUCCCUACCACGGCCAGAACCUGGGUCGGCCUCCUCAGGGGAUACUCUGGGGGAGUACAGAGCCAGGGGUGGGGAAGGGGGUUCAGCCCCAAGCCAGUCCCCAAAUAUCCCCAAUACAGAAGAUCUUUCUGCCACCUGGGCUGUUCCCACAAGGACAGGUUGAGGUGCAGACCUGUUCUACCUGGCCCCAGGCUGGGAGAGCGCCCGACAAGGGUUAGGGGGCCGAGCCGUGCUGCUGAGGCGCUCUGUGACCUUGGGCAAGUCCUUGCCCUUCCUCUGGUCCUCACUGUUCCCUUCUCUAAAAGGCAGGAGUGGGGCUAACUCAGCCCUGGGGACCCUCUGGCUCUGACCAUUGACGAUUUCCAGCCCCUGCCCAGUCGUGGCUCACAUAGAAGCCGUGCCCCAGGCUCCCUGGGCCAGACCAAUAAACCAGGCUCAUAAAUGCCUGGCGGGACAGCAGGCCUCUCGCGAAUAAAAAAUGUUUCCCAAAUAGGAUUGAGAAAGACCAGCUCUGGGCGCCCCUGAGUCAGCCGUCACAGGGGCACUGGUUACGGGGCGUUUAGCUGCCCGGCCUUCUGGGCCAAGGGUAUGGGAACAUCAGCUCCCUUAGGCGCCCAUCCCUCUUUCUUGCCUCCUUCCUCCCCUCCUUCCCUCUGGAGAUAAACUUGGGCUCUAAUCCUGUCUUCCUGUGUGACCUGGGCCCUGCCACUUCUCCUUCUGGGCCACAGUUUCUUUAUCUGUCAAACAGGGAGGCCAGUCCCUGGCUGGCCUUGCUUCCGGGUGGUGAUAACACAUCAAGCACGUCAAGGAAGCACGUCAAGGAAGACGGUAUAUAUGUGAAAGCUUUUUGCCCCAAGUUGAGUAAAUGUGGGGUUUAAGAAUGACGUUCGUGGUAGAACGGGUCCCUUUCACAGCCAGGAAGACUUUCCUUAGGGCUCCUCCAUCGAACUAGAGGUUCCUCUGGGACAGAACUGUGCCUCCCCCUUUAGAUCGGAAGGCUUGGUAAGAGAGAGGAGCUUUGCUUAACUCUUAUGUCUUACAAGGUAGGAGCUGUGUUUCCCCCAUCAGACUAGCUGAUCCCUACGGUCAGAGGCUGUGCCUCCCCAUCCGAUCGGAAGCUUCCCAAGGGUAGGGGCUGUGUCUCCCCCAUCGGAGAGGACACUCCUGUCGGACAGGCAGUUUGGCUCUACACUCGGUCUGGGGACCCCACAGAGUGCGGGCUGUGCCUACCCCUUCAGACCGGGGGCUCCUUCACAGCCAGCAUGCGGGAGGACUGUGCUGUGGGCGGCUGCUGUGGGCGUGGCUGGCCCUUGGGGACCAGCGCUGGACGUCAGGGAGAAAGAGGCCGCGCGGGGACUCGGGGGAAAUAGCACAGGGAGCAGGAAGAGCACGCUAAAGCUGAGCGGUGGCUCAGAACGAACGAGGUGCCCGCCCUGCCAGGCCACGUGGUCACCAGGCACUCCCAGGCCAGGGGGCCGGGGUCAGGCUGGGUCCUUCAGGCCCGCGUUGGGGCCGGUUGGCUCUCAGACUCGGCCAAGCCCUG